GGGUUGUGAGGUUAAGCGACUAAGCGUACACGGUGGAUGCCCUGGCAGUCAGAGGCGAUGAAGGACGUGCUAAUCUGCGAAAAGCGUCGGUAAGGUGAUAUGAACCGUUAUAGCCGGCGAUGUCCGAAUGGGGAAACCCAGUGCAAUUCGUUGCACUAUCGUUUGAUGAAUACAUAGUCAAACGAGGCGAACCGGGGGAACUGAAACAUCUAAGUACCCCGAGGAAAAGAAAUCAACCGAGAUUCCCCCAGUAGCGGCGAGCGAACGGGGAGCAGCCCGGAGUCUGAAUCAGCUUGUGUGUUAGUGGAAGCGUCUGGAAAGUCGCAGGGUACAGGGUGAUACUCCCGUACACUAAAACACACAGGUUGUGAACUCGAAGAGUAGGGCGGGACACGUGGUAUCCUGUCUGAAUAUGGGGGGACCAUCCUCCAAGGCUAAAUACUCCUGACUGACCGAUAGUGAACCAGUACCGUGAGGGAAAGGCGAAAAGAACCCCGGCGAGGGGAGUGAAAAAGAACCUGAAACCGUGUACGUACAAGCAGUAGGAGCCCACUAGUUGGGUGACUGCGUACCUUUUGUAUAAUGGGUCAGCGACUUAUAUUCUGUAGCAAGGUUAACCGUAUAGGGGAGCCGCAGGGAAACCGAGUCUUAACUGGGCGUUAAGUUGCAGGGUAUAGACCCGAAACCCGGUGAUCUAGCCAUGGGCAGGUUGAAGGUUGGGUAACACUAACUGGAGGACCGAACCGACUAAUGUUGAAAAAUUAGCGGAUGACUUGUGGCUGGGGGUGAAAGGCCAAUCAAACCGGGAGAUAGCUGGUUCUCCCCGAAAGCUAUUUAGGUAGCGCCUCGUGAACUCAUCUUCGGGGGUAGAGCACUGUUUCGGCUAGGGGGUCAUCCCGACUUACCAACCCGAUGCAAACUACGAAUACCGAAGAAUGUUAUCACGGGAGACACACGGCGGGUGCUAACGUCCGUCGUGAAGAGGGAAACAACCCAGACCGCCAGCUAAGGUCCCAAAGUCAUGGUUAAGUGGGAAACGAUGUGGGAAGGCCCAGACAGCCAGGAUGUUGGCUUAGAAGCAGCCAUCAUUUAAAGAAAGCGUAAUAGCUCACUGGUCGAGUCGGCCUGCGCGGAAGAUGUAACGGGGCUAAACCAUGCACCGAAGCUGCGGCAGCGACACUAUGUGUUGUUGGGUAGGGGAGCGUUCUGUAAGCCGUUGAAGGUGGCCUGUGAGGGUUGCUGGAGGUAUCAGAAGUGCGAAUGCUGACAUAAGUAACGAUAAUGCGGGUGAAAAACCCGCACGCCGGAAGACCAAGGGUUCCUGUCCAACGUUAAUCGGGGCAGGGUGAGUCGACCCCUAAGGCGAGGCCGAAAGGCGUAGUCGAUGGGAAACAGGUUAAUAUUCCUGUACUCGGUGUUACUGCGAAGGGGGGACGGAGAAGGCUAUGUUGGCCGGGCGACGGUUGUCCCGGUUUAAGCAUGUAGGCGGAUGUUCCAGGUAAAUCCGGAACGUCACUAACGCUGAGGUGUGAUGACGAGGCACUACGGUGCUGAAGUGACAAAUGCCCUGCUUCCAGGAAAAGCCUCUAAGCAUCAGGUAACAUCAAAUCGUACCCCAAACCGACACAGGUGGUCAGGUAGAGAAUACCAAGGCGCUUGAGAGAACUCGGGUGAAGGAACUAGGCAAAAUGGUGCCGUAACUUCGGGAGAAGGCACGCUGAUGGUAGGUGAAGUGACUUGCUCAUGGAGCUGAAAUCAGUCGAAGAUACCAGCUGGCUGCAACUGUUUAUUAAAAACACAGCACUGUGCAAACACGAAAGUGGACGUAUACGGUGUGACGCCUGCCCGGUGCCGGAAGGUUAAUUGAUGGGGUUAUCCGUAAGGAGAAGCUCUUGAUCGAAGCCCCGGUAAACGGCGGCCGUAACUAUAACGGUCCUAAGGUAGCGAAAUUCCUUGUCGGGUAAGUUCCGACCUGCACGAAUGGCGUAAUGAUGGCCAGGCUGUCUCCACCCGAGACUCAGUGAAAUUGAACUCGCUGUGAAGAUGCAGUGUACCCGCGGCAAGACGGAAAGACCCCGUGAACCUUUACUAUAGCUUGACACUGAACACUGGUCCUUGAUGUGUAGGAUAGGUGGGAGGCUUUGAAGUGUGGACGCCAGUCUGCAUGGAGCCAUCCUUGAAAUACCACCCUUUAAUGGCUGGUGUUCUAACGUGGGCCCCUGAUCGGGGUUGCGGACAGUGUCUGGUGGGUAGUUUGACUGGGGCGGUCUCCUCCUAAAGAGUAACGGAGGAGCACGAAGGUCAGCUAAUCCUGGUCGGACAUCAGGAGGUUAGUGCAAUGGCAUAAGCUGGCUUGACUGCGAGCGUGACGGCGCGAGCAGGUGCGAAAGCAGGUCAUAGUGAUCCGGUGGUUCUGAAUGGAAGGGCCAUCGCUCAACGGAUAAAAGGUACUCCGGGGAUAACAGGCUGAUACCGCCCAAGAGUUCAUAUCGACGGCGGUGUUUGGCACCUCGAUGUCGGCUCAUCACAUCCUGGGGCUGAAGUAGGUCCCAAGGGUAUGGCUGUUCGCCAUUUAAAGUGGUACGCGAGCUGGGUUUAGAACGUCGUGAGACAGUUCGGUCCCUAUCUGCCGUGGGCGCUGGAGAAUUGAGGGGGGCUGCUCCUAGUACGAGAGGACCGGAGUGGACGCAUCACUGGUGUUCGGGUUGUCAUGCCAAUGGCAUUGCCCGGUAGCUAAAUGCGGAAGAGAUAAGUGCUGAAAGCAUCUAAGCACGAAACUUGCCCCGAGAUGAGUUCUCCCUGACCCUUUAAGGGUCCUGAAGGAACGUUGAAGACGACGACGUUGAUAGGCCGGGUGUGUAAGCGCAGCGAUGCGUUGAGCUAACCGGUACUAAUGAACCGUGAGGCUUAACCUUACAACGCCGAAG
rnacentral:rRNA from 1 species